GUUUGGGUCCCUUGACUUGGUCUAAGCUCCUCAGUGUGAUGAUUAAACCUGAGGAGUUUAGAGCAAGUAAAGGGUCUUCAAC
rnacentral:pre_miRNA from 1 species